AUUAGCGUCCGUGUUCGUACUCGUCGGAAAUUGGCAGAAUGGCGUUGGUUCUGAACUGCAAUUUGGCUUCAGCUGCGGUACUGUAUUGGAUAGCAGCUCUUUAAUAAAAUAGCUACAAUUCAAUCGUUUUGGGUAUAUAUAAUGCAAUAUCAGCAGAUUUCCUUCGUUUGUUCCUCGGGCAAACACAAACGAGAGCAGAGGCACAAAACACACCUCCGCGCACGAAUCCUUGCCGCCGAGUACCUCUGCUUGUCAGUACCAGUUGCAUCGCGCUUUCCCUGCUGGUGGGUCCAUUGCCAAUCUGCUCACUGCUUCCUCUGGUCCGUCCUUAAGUCUGCUCAGCUUCUUGGUUCAGAUCAUUGGUAUCCAAAAAAUUUGUCUUUUAAUUUUGUUCUGUUUUCUUUUUGGUUUUCUUGAUUUGGUUUUAGAAUUGUUCACUAAACCGAGAAUUUUUGAGAUUACAAGCAUAAAGGUGCUCCAUGAGCCCCCCAAAUCUUGUUAACCCUAACUCUUACUCCAUGAGCUUUGAUUGGCGCUACUUCUGCUGGCCCUGACCCCAAAACGGUGCCCCCUGCUUCCUCUCUACUGCCAAAUCUGCUCUAUCCGUGGUUCGAAUUUGCUGCAGCUGCACGAGUUUCUUAGCACAGUCGCCUUCGGCCUCCAUCGAUGCUAGCCCCGUCACCACCACCACCAUCUCAGGUAUUUAACUGUCCCCAGUUGAGAGAGAUUUCGUUGGAGUUUUUUCGACAAAAAAAUGAUAGUACUGAUCUAACAACUAUGAUUGAAGGAUUAGGCAGAAAUUGUUCAAGAUUGCAGAAUAUACAUAUAAGCUGCUUUGAGGCUUUUUCAUGCUGCUGUGCUUGCUCUUACAGUUGCUCGAUUGAGGUUUGUAAUCUUAAACUCCAUUUUCUUACUGUGAUUAAAAAAUUUUGUUCACAUGAGAUAAUAAUCCUGUUGCUUCUAUUCUUUGAAAGUUUUGGAUUCGAUUCCAGCAGCAUGAUUAAUUUCAUCAUUAUAUUGUUAAGGGAUUUUGAUAGGACGAAGAUGAUUUUGCAGUUCAUUGGUAUUGAUAAUUUGUACACUAAUUGUUACCAUGUUUUAUAAGUGUUUUCAAUGAGUUUAUUAAGGUGAGCGGCAGUGAAAGCAUUAGAAGAAGAAGGAGAAGAUGAAAGUUGAAUUACGACUUCCAUGAUUGACUGCAACCUUAGCUCUACAAUACCAUGAAAGGGUUUUAGAGAGAAUUGAAAACAAUAGAGUGAAAGUGCAAUAGCAUGAAUGAGUAUUGAAUUAAGCUGGUUCCUUGAGAGUUAAGUUACUUCAACUAUAUCUACAAAUUUUUUUCAAGAUAUUUGUUCCUAUCUUUAAUUAAUUAUAUUAUAUUGGAUUUAUUGCCUAAGCUUCAAAGGAGAUGUCUUUUCUUCUCUGAGCUUUUUUUAAGUGGUUGGAUUUAAGCUAAAAUGAAAAUUUGGACUAUUCAAUUAUUAUGUAUAUAUUGAAGUAUUUUUCUUGUUCAGAAAUUAAAAUAACAAUUAAAAAAUAUUUAAUUGAAUAUAUAUAGUGUUGCUGUGAUGAAAGUUACAUGUCAUCACUGACUUGUUGAUUGCUAUAUAUGGAAAAUUAGGAAAUGAUGGAGUGGGAGCACAAGACUUGUUUAUUCUUUUUUCUUUGAAUUUUUCUGUGUUGAGUCUUAUGUUGAUUGUUCGGCCAAGGAUGAAUUUAGAUGUCUCAUUAUAUUUUUGGAUGACAUAGAAACAUAAAGGUGUCAUUAUCUUAGGAAAGAAUAGAAAAAUAAAAUUGAUUAAAAAAUUUAAAUGUGAUUAGUUUUCUUUUACAUAGUACUAAAAAUUAAAAUAUGCAAUUAUUUUUUUCAAUUAUAUAUCUUUAGUACUUAUUAGAAGUGAAACAAAUUGAAAUUUCAUAAAUAUUUGUUUACAUCCUUGCUGUUUCUAUAAUAUGUACUAUUGGGGCUGAAAUUAAUAAAAAUAUAUGCAACAGGGGAUGUUGGAAUUUUUUUUUUCUGGUUUAGAUUACUCAUCCACUUGUCCUCUGGUCAACGACCGAGUGAAGCAGUUAGUAUAUACUUGUAUUCGAGCCUUACAUUAGAAUAGGUAGGAUUCAUUGGCUUAAUUUAACUUCAUUAAUUUCUAUGGGAGUUCUAAAUAUAACAUGCAUAUGAUGGUCAGAAGGGGGUGACAUUACUUUCACUCUCUUGUGCUUCAAUAUUAGGUGAUUUGUAUGUAUCUUAUGACAUAACCUGAAAACCAUACUUCUUAUAGAACCUUUUGAAGGAUAUUCAGCAUGAUUUUUGUUGUUGCUAUACUCUUUCUUUUGAAGCAUUACUUUAAAAAUCUCUUUUUUGUUUGGUAGAUAAAUUUUUUUAUGUACCGCAUGUUUUUGGGUUUCUUGUGCUGUCUUGCUUAAUUUUCUUUUACUGGAUAGAAAUCAGUUGAAGGAUCAAUUUUUGUUGGCUCCUAAGGAAUCUAGUGUAACAGCUAUUCGUAAAGGCUUCCAAAUCAAAUAGCUACUUCAAUUACAUUUUGCUAUUAACCUUUUAUUUUUCUAUUCAAUUGAUUUAUUAUAUCUUUGGCUUUGCUAAUUGAUUUAAAGCAUUUUUGAUAGUUCACAAUACUCUAUCUGGUUUAAAGCAUUUCUAUCCAUACUAGGAUGCCUUGAAAAAUAUAUUUUAUUAAUAUACUUUCUUUAAUUAUUCAAUUUAUUACUUGGUGUGAUAUGUGUUAUUUACAAAGGGGCUUGACUAUCUUAAUUUUAUUUCGACUUUAUUAAGAUAAUCUAAUAGGUAAAAUCAGUAACUCUUUCUAACUUGUUAUACAUUGAAUUCCUUAUUGUGGCAGAUGCUUCCACUUGGAACCAACAAUAAAGAGCUACUUGAAGAUUGUCUUUGUGGGUAAAAUAUUUUGGUCAGAUCUUUGUUUUCUUGUUUAAAGUUUUUAUUUGUUGAUUAGUUAAUCUUUUUUUAGUAGAUGUUUGUCAGAUCUUUAUUUUUAGUAUCUAUCAAUUGUGAAUGAAUUCAUUUAAGAUAUUCAUGCUCGAUGGCCUAAGGCUAUUGUUCAAGCUUGUUUUCAUUCUAGUAUAUAACUCUCAUUGUUCACAUAGAUUUUAUCAACUAUUUUAUUUCUUUGAUUUUUUAGGCACAUAGCUAUUAUCAAUUGUAUAAAUUAACUAUGUUUAUGUCAAGUAUGUUUUUCCUUGGUUUGCAAUGUAGGGCUUGGUGUUUUAAAAAUGACCAUCUAGAUAAUUUUAAAGAUAGCAUGGUACACUGAAAUAGCUGUCAAAAUGUAGAGUUAUUUUGGUUUUUUGUAGCAGCAAAAAAAAUAAAGAGGCAGACAACAAAGUGUGCUAAGUUAUCUGGUCCAACAACAAGGUGGAAGCUACCACCAGACAUUGCUGCACGGAUGAAUUCUUUGGAUGGACAUGGCGGAAAAUAGAAAUUAGGAUAUAUAUAAUAUUUUAUUUUUCAGUAUAUGUUUUGUUUAAGUUAACUAUGCAGCAUUUUUUAUCAGCCAAAUACUUUACAUUUUUUGGUGACUAUUGAAAUACUCUAUUGAUAUUAAAAUAAAUAUGUUAAUUUGUUUUGCUUUUAAA